CCUUGUAUCUAUCUAUCUGUGAUUCUAUUCUUCCCAGCCUUCCUUGUUUCUCCCACAAUCGCCAUUACCGACAACCACAAAUCGUUGGGGUUUGUGGUAAACUCAGGAUUAUAUUUCUACCACAUUUUUCUUCGAUUCGACUUGUCUCGGCCUAGAUCUGCUAUAAACCAGAAAACAAAAGGCUAUGAGAGGGCUAUUUGAUGUCCAGUUGCAUGUCCAGAUGAUGUGGCAGAAAGAUUUUAGUGCUGGAUGAUGUGGCAGUGAGAAGGCUAUGUGAGGGCUAUGGGAGGUCCUAGACCAUUGUGGAUGCUCUAAGCCGCUCGUUGAUUUUGCUAACAAGCCCAUGAUUUUGCACCAGGCAUAAUGCUCAGCAUAGUAUGAUGUUUUAAAUCAUAGUAUAUCCAUCAUCACGCAUGUUAAAACUCUUCUUGCCAUUGUAUCUGGUAGAAGCCCUCAAGGCUAUUGGAGUAACGGAAGUAGUCCUAGCCAUCAAUUAUCAGCCAGAGGUAAUGCUGAACUUUUUGAAAGAUUUUGAGGCGAAGGUUGAGAUCAAGAUCACAUGUUCGCGAGAGACUGAACCUCUUGGAACAGCCGGUCCCCUUGCCUUGGCUUGGGACAAGCUGCUAGAUAAGUCUGGAGAGCCAUUUUUUGUUAUUAAUAGUGAUGUUAUCAGUGAGUACCCACUGAAAGAGAUGAUUGAGUUCCAUAAAUCCCAUGGAGGUGAAGCUUCA